GUGCCAGCAGCCGCGGUAAAACGUAGGGGAAGAGCGUUGUCCGGAUUUAUUGGGCGUAAAGAGCGCGCAGGCGGCUUCGCAAGUCGGGUGUGAAAAUCCGGGGCUCAACCCCGGACCUGCAUUCGAUACUGCGUGGCUAGAGGCAGGAAGGGGAGAUCGGAAUUCCUGGUGUAGCGGUGAAAUGCGCAGAUAUCAGGAGGAACACCGGUGGAGAAGGCGGAUCUCUGGGCCUGUCCUGACGCUCAGGCGCGAAAGCUAGGGGAGCGAACAGGAUUAGAUACCCCAGUAGUCC
rnacentral:rRNA from 1 species